CCUACGGGAGGCAGCAGUAGGGAAUAUUGCUCAAUGGGGGAAACCCUGAAGCAGCAACGCCGCGUGGAGGAUGAAGGUUUUCGGAUUGUAAACCCCUUUUGUUAGAGAAGAUAAUGACGGUAUCUAAGGCAUAAGCACCGGCUAACUCCGUGCCAGCAGCCGCGGUAAUACGGAGGGUGCAAGCGUUACUCGGAUUUACUGGGCGUAAAGAGCGCGUAGGCGGGAUAGCAAGUCAGAUGUGAAAUCCUAGGGCUUAACCAUAGAACUGCAUUUGAAACUGUCAUUCUAGAGUAUGGGAGAGGUAGGUGGAAUUCUUGGUGUAGGGGUAAAAUCCGUAGAGAUCAAGAGGAAUACUCAUUGCGAAGGCGACCUGCUAGAACAUAACUGACGCUGAUGCUCGAAAGCGUGGGGAGCAAACAGGAUUAGAUACCCCGGUAGUC
rnacentral:rRNA from 1 species